rnacentral:rRNA from 1 species
UACGUAGGGUGCAAGCGUUAAUCGGAAUUACUGGGCGUAAAGCGUGCGCAGGCGGUUGUGCCAGACCGAUGUGAAAUCCCCGGGCUCAACCUGGGAAUGGCAUUGGUGACUGCACGGCUAGAGUGUGUCAGAGGGGGGUAGAAUUCCACGUGUAGCAGUGAAAUGCGUAGAGAUGUGGAGGAAUACCGAUGGCGAAGGCAGCCCCCUGGGAUAACACUGACGCUCAUGCACGAAAGCGUGGGGAGCAAACGGG